rnacentral:rRNA from 1 species
GACGAACGCUGGCGGCGUGCUUAACACAUGCAAGUCGAACGGAAAGGCCUGCUUUCCCUUGUGGAUUGCGGGUACUCGAGUGGCGAACGGGUGAGUAACACGUGAGUGAUCUGCCCCCAACUUGGGUAUAAGCCUGGGAAACUGGGUCUAAUUCCCGAUAGGACUGCAGGGUGGUGCCUGUGGUGGAAAACGAUUUUCUAGUGGUUGGGGAUGAGCUCGCGGCCUAUCAGCUUGUUGGUGGGGUAAUGGCCUACCAAGGCGGCGACGGGUAGCCGGCCUGAGAGGGUGGACGGCCACAUUGGGACUGAGAUACGGCCCAGACUCCUACGGGAGGCAGCAGUGGGGAAUAUUGCACAAUGUGCGGAAGCCUGAUGCAGCGACGCCGCGUGGGGGAUGACGGCCUUCGGGUUGUAAACUCCUUUCGACCGCGAGGAAGCCACCUGGUUGGAAGGGUGGUGACGGUAGUGGUAGAAGAAGCACCGGCUAACUACGUG